rnacentral:tRNA from 1 species
GGGGAUUUAGCUCAGUGGUGCAGCAUUUGCCUGGCAAACACAAGGUCCUGAAUUCAAUUCCUGGUAUCCCUG